rnacentral:lncRNA from 1 species
GGUAAGGACCGCAGUAACUCCUGAAGGACCCCCUCCGAAAGUAUCGAGACCCGUCAGGACGCAGGGCCGCCCCAGGGGCCGGGUGGCUCCCCCGCCCCACGGCUCCUCUGGAGGAGCUCAGGUGAAACCUGCCUCCCUCUGUGGAAACCCAAGCGGAAAUCUCCAGAGAGCAGAGGGCAGAAUCCACUAGAGAGCUUGGGUCCACCGUACUGACACCGAGGGGCCAGAAGCCUCGGGACAAUAUUUCCGAGAAAAUCCCCAAAAGAAUCGAAAGUCUAGAUACGCCAAACCCAUGCAAACCUCACAAACAAACCCAUCAACAAAUGCUCCUUUUGGUAUUUUCCAAACUCUUGCCUUUCAACUCUUUCAAAAUGCUGUAGCCGGAGGGCAAACAAAACAAAGAAAAUGUGUUUCUAUUCAAGAAAUGUUAAACUAAAUAUGUAAUGAUUUCUUGGUCAAAGUUUUCCUUUCCCAAGAUAAAAAUAAUCCGAAGUCACAUCUGAUAACUAUUAGCGUUGCUUCCAGACUGUGAGGCAGAGGAUUCCUGCAGAUGCAUAUCGACUGCGCGUCCAGGGGCCCAGGAGCUGAGCAGCCACCGCCGUCCCCCAGGCCUGCGCUGCGUGCUGAGCGCGGGGGCGGGGGGUGGGGUACAGGCCAGCCCCUUGCUCUCAUCCUGUCCGGGCGCCCAUUUCCUGCGUGGGGGACUUUGCUGCCUGCUCCUUUCAGCUCAACUUCUGCCUCUGGCCUCUGGCCUCUGGUGGGUCCCCCCCCACCCCAGUCACAUGCUGGGGACGGUGGCCGUGAGGCUCUGAGGUUUGCAUCUCUUUUGUGCCCUCUGUCAGUGGUUCCAGAACCAUCUCCUGGCUCCCACUCCCCUGCCCCUUGCCCUACAGCACCCACAGGCGCACCCUUGCUGCUGAGGAGCCUGGGCCGUCCGUGCUCUUCCGCAAAGCCUGCGUUCACCAGACGCCAACUUCGCGGCAGAAUCCCGGAGCCUGACUGUGGACCAGGCGCAGAAACCCCGGAUGUCGUCCUUCCCUCUGGGCGCCGGGCCGGGGCCUCAGGUGCAUGUGCACACUCGCUGGGAAGCUGCUGAAGGGCGGUUUCUCCGCUCAGAACUCGAGGAAACGCCCGGCCCUGUGGCGGCAGAAGCACCGGCCGCCCCGGCCCUCCCGCUGCCCGGCUGGGCCGCUGCUGUCCCCCGUCCCCGGGAAGGUCUGUCCCGAGGCGGAGCCGGUGUGGCGGGUUACUGCUUUCGUGAGA